UACAGAGGGGGCAAGCGUUGUUCGGAAUUACUGGGCGUAAAGGGCGCGUAGGCGGCCUGCUAAGUCGAACGUGAAAUCCCCGGGCUCAACCCGGGAACUGCGUCCGAUACUGACAGGCUUGAAUCCGGGAGAGGGAUGCGGAAUUCCAGGUGUAGCGGUGAAAUGCGUAGAUAUCUGGAGGAACACCGGUGGCGAAGGCGGCAUCCUGGACCGGCAUUGACGCUGAGGCGCGAAAGCUAGGGGAGCAAACGGG
rnacentral:rRNA from 1 species